rnacentral:rRNA from 1 species
GAUGAACGCUAGCUACAGGCUUAACACAUGCAAGUCGAGGGGUAGCAGGGUAGCAAUACCGCUGACGACCGGCGCACGGGUGAGUAACACGUAUCCAACCUUCCCAUAACUCUGGGAUAGCCUUUCGAAAGAAAGAUUAAUACCGGAUGGUACUUUUUCAAGGCAUCUUGAGAAAGUUAAAGAUUUAUUGGUUAUGGAUGGGGAUGCGUUCCAUUAGAUAGUUGGUGAGGUAACGGCUCACCAAGUCUUCGAUGGAUAGGGGUUCUGAGAGGAAGGUCCCCCACAUUGGUACUGAGACACGGACCAAACUCCUACGGGAGGCAGCAGUGAGGAAUAUUGGUCAAUGGGCGAGAGCCUGAACCAGCCAAGUAGCGUGAAGGAUGAAGGUCCUAUGGAUUGUAAACUUCUUUUAUAGUAGAAUAAAGUGAUCCACGUGUGGAUUUUUGUAUGUAUACUAUGAAUAAGGAUCGGCUAACUCCGUGCCAGCAGCCGCGGUAAAACGUAG